AGCUUUGCGCAGUGGCAGUAUCGUAGCCAAUGAGGUUUAUCCGAGGCGCGAUUAUUGCUAAUUGAAAACAUAUAAUCGACAUUAAGCAAAGCUUUUUAGGGUCCUCAAUUUUUCAAAAGAAUUUUUUAUU
ensembl:snRNA U4 U4 spliceosomal RNA